rnacentral:rRNA from 1 species
UACGUAGGGGGCAAGCGUUAUCCGGAUUUACUGGGUGUAAAGGGAGCGUAGACAGCGGUGCAAGCCAGAUGUGAAAGCCCGGGGCUCAACCCCGGGACUGCAUUUGGAACUGUGCUGCUAGAGUGUCGGAGAGGCAGGCGGAAUUCCUAGUGUAGCGGUGAAAUGCGUAGAUAUUAGGAGGAACACCAGUGGCGAAGGCGGCCUGCUGGACGAUGACUGACGUUGAGGCUCGAAAGCGUGGGGAGCAAACAGG